UCCAUAAGAUCGGAGGCAGUACUGUUCCUGCUCUCGCUAGCGUCUCAACGACUUGCCAAAAUAUGCCAAAAUAUGAGGCACCAACUCUGAGAAGCAGAAACCCUUGUUCAGCGUAAGAGUGCCACCCUCAAAUUGUUGCAAUGGUCGAUUCGUGGACACAGUUCCGAUAACAGGAACAGUAAAUAUAUACACGGUAAACAGAGCAAAGAAAAUGAAAGAGUGGACACCGGAUGCUUUGCAAGGUUUAGAUUUGCAACCCUCAAGGCGAACUUCAACAAAUUGAUUGCAUAAAAUAAUGGACAUUCGCGAAAGUGGGUGUGGACACACGCAAACCCCGUAGGAGAACAGGGGACGUUACACUACCUUCGUCAGUUCUUCCCAAGACAGCGAACUGGAACGUUUCGAAAAAUAUGGAAAGAUUCACGGAAUUUACGACAGCACCCCGGGCUCAUCGACCUCGUUCGACUCGUCAUGGUCAGCCAACUCUUCCUCGACGUAUUCUGCAACCGUGGGGCCGUGAAGACUACGAACUCCGUGAUGGCUAAAUUCCUCCCUUGAGGACUGAAACAUCCGCUCUAUCACGGCCCCCACAUUCAUUGUUGCUGCGACCAACUGAACUUACUGGGCUCUACGAUCCAGUAUUCAGGUCGCAUCAACAACCACAUUCACUUCAGGGAAGUUUAAGAGACUCGUCCCUUAUGUGGCAUCCGGUCCCCUCCUCGCCAACCUGACCGCCGCUGCUGCUAACAUCUCUCAGGGGCACAUUACUGGUCGUAAUCGCCCACUCUGCAUUUGCCACCACCCCCGACGACAUUUUCGUGUAGCAGGCCAGCCUCCUCUUCAAAUUCCCAUUCUGGAGAAGGUUUCUCGACUACAUGACCGUGCUGGAGCAAUUGAACUUUACUUUACAGUCCUGCAAUGAAGAUAUCGCCGUAUUCUCCAAACAGGUAAGAGUUGCACAUUUUUGUAAGUAGGAAACAUCAUCUCGGUGGGUGGGUUGUAUUAUGUUUAGAUUUCAGCAUACAUGUAUCUACAUACGUUGUUAAACUAUACGUUGGGGUGGGGGUGGAAUUAUAAAUGCCGUGUAAAUGCAUGUCAAUUAGUUAACAAAUACAAAGUUAACUAAUCUAAUGUAAUCUAAUGAAGAAAGUUGAUGACCAAAAAUAUAUUCGUUAUCGUAUUUAUGUUGAACUGAUAAAUUUAAAGGGAUUUUUUAUAAUAUGAGAUAGAAGAUAGAUGAAAUAAAAUUCAAGCUUAACAGCAA